rnacentral:rRNA from 1 species
GAUGAACGCUGGCGGCGUGCCUAAUACAUGCAAGUCGAGCGAACAGACGAGGAGCUUGCUCCUCUGACGUUAGCGGCGGACGGGUGAGUAACACGUGGAUAACCUACCUAUAAGACUGGGAUAACUUCGGUAAACCGGAGCUAAUACCGGAUAAUAUAUUGAACCGCAUGGUUCAAUAGUGAAAGACGGUGUUGCUGUCACUUAUAGAUGGAUCCGCUCCGCAUUAGCUAGUUGGUAAGGUAACGGCUUACCAAGGCGACGAUGCGUAGCCGACCUGAGAGGGUGCUCGGCCACACUGGAACUGAGACACGGUCAAGACUCCUACGAGAGGCAGCAGUAGGGAAUCUUCCGCAAUGGGCGAAAGCCUGACGGAGCAACGCCGCGUGAGUGAUGAAGGUCUUCGGAUCGUAAAACUCUGUUAUUAGGGAAGAACAAAUGUGUAAGUAACUAUGCACGUCUUGACGGUACCUAAUCAGAAAGCCACGGCUAACUCCGUG